rnacentral:pre_miRNA from 1 species
AAAGUACUCCCUCCGUCCCAAAAUUAUUCUCUUAGAUUUGUCUAGAUACGGAUGUAUCAAGUCACAUUUUAGUAUUAGAUACAUCCGUAUCUAGACAAAUCUAAGACAAGAAAUUUGGGACAGAGGGAGUAGUUG